CUAGAGGACUGGCUUAUCACAUUGAACUUAUAUAAGCUUGAAGAGAAUCCAAUAUAAGAGACUGAGAAGGAGCAAUCUGUAUGACUGAAGGAAAGAAAACCAGGAGAAUGAAUUAUUGCAGAGGCCAGUUUGAUUGUUGAAGAAUGCAACUACAGAGCAAAUGCUUCCUCUAUAAAGCAUCUAUUCAUCUGCUGGCUGAUAUAUUAAACAGCAAAUAUUACUGAAGCCUAUGCAAGAUACUGUUAGUUAAGAGGGAACAGAGAAUGAAGAUGGUAUAAUAAGAGAUAUGAUUUCUAUCUUCAAGAAAACUAUAAUAAAACAAGGAAGACAUGAGUAUGAACAAGUAACAAAAGAAGAAAACAUGAAAUGAGAUACAUGUGAAACACUGAGAGGCAAUUUUUUGUGGUACAAAAAACAUGGGCUUCAGAGUCAAACUAUAGAUUUCAAUUUUUCUACUUUGCCUCUGUUUCAGGAAGGACUUCUAAUCCAUCAGCUGGAAUAUGAAAGGAUAAAUAACAUUUGCCAUUCCUCAUAAAGACAUUUUUGAUAUUUUAAUUUAUAAGACACUUAAUAAACACUUUGAGUGUUUUUUCAU